rnacentral:misc_RNA from 1 species
UGCAUGCAGCAGGGCAGGGAUUCUAAAAUCCAGGAAGGUCUGGUCAAGGAGAUUAGAUGCUUCCGUUGCUCUCAAUCUGGACACCAUCAAGCUGACUGCCCGAAUGACCCUCUAUGCUACAAAUGUAAAGAGUCUGGGCAUAUGGCGGCGGAAUGCCAAAAUAACAAGAAACUUAGGUUGUUUGGAUUUGGAAUUCCGGAGCAGGGCUUCUUUGGUUUUGAUAUUCCUGAGAAAAAAGUGCAGGUGAAUAUGUUGAAUGCUGUUAUUCACAUUCUUGAGGGGGAACCCACAGAAGAGAAAUUGGACAGAGAGCUUAAAAU